rnacentral:rRNA from 1 species
UAGGGAAUCUUCGGCAAUGGGGGGAACCCUGACCGAGCAACGCCGCGUGAGUGAAGAAGGUUUUCGUAUCGUAAAGCUCUGUUGUUAAGGAAGAACGAGUGUGAGAAUGGAAAGUUCAUACUGUGACGGUACUUAACCAGAAAGGGACGGCUAACUACGUGCCAGCAGCCGCGGUAAUACGUAGGUCCCGAGCGUUGUCCGGAUUUAUUGGGCGUAAAGCGAGCGCAGGCGGUUAGAUAAGUCUGAAGUUAAAGGCAGUGGCUCAACCAUUGUAGGCUUUGGAAACUGUUUAACUUGAGUGCAGAAGGGGAGAGUGGAAUUCCAGGUGUAACGGUGAAAUGCGUAGAUAUAUGGAGGAACACCGGUGGCGAAAGCGGCUCUCUGGUCUGUAGCUGACGCGGAGGCUCGAAAGCGUGGGGAGCGAACAGG